rnacentral:rRNA from 1 species
AUGGCCAGGGAGCGGCGGCAUGACGGCGGCUACAGCCUACACGUGAAGCCGUGCGGCAGGCUGAAGAGGAGGACGCCAGCCGCAGACUCCGGCGGCGACCACCGUGCCGUAGAGGCGACGCGCCGGCUGCAGGAGAGCCUCGUCGUGGUAAAGGAGUCGGGGGACCCGGACUUCCCGGCGAGCAUGGCGGAGAUGAUCGCGGCGGACGACGAUGUCCGGGCAUCGGCGAGGGGCCUCGAGGAGCCGCUCGCGUGCUACCUCACCUUCAACGACGCCGAGCACAACCCCGCCAUCGUCGCCGCGUUCCGAGCCAUGGCGCUGUGA